CCUACGGGCGGCAGCAGUGAGGAAUAUUGGUCAAUGGACGAGAGUCUGAACCAGCCAAGUAGCGUGAAGGAUGACUGCCCUAUGGGUUGUAAACUUCUUUUAUAUGGGAAUAAAAUGUUCCACGUGUGGGAUUUUGUAUGUACCAUAUGAAUAAGGAUAGGCUAACUCCGUGCCAGCAGCCGCGGUAAUACGGAGGAUCCGAGCGUUAUCCGGAUUUAUUGGGUUUAAAGGGAGCGUAGGUGGAUUGUUAAGUCAGUUGUGAAAGUUUGCGGCUCAACCGUAAAAUUGCAGUUGAAACUGGCAGUCUUGAGUACAGGAGAGGUGGGCGGAAUUCGUGGUGUAGGGGUGAAAUGCUUAGAUAUCACGAAGAACUCCGAUUGCGAAGGCAGUUCACUGGACUGCAACUGACACUGAGGCUCGAAAGUGUGGGUAUCAAACAGGAUUAGAUACCCCUGUAGUC
rnacentral:rRNA from 1 species